CUGUCAUCUACGAUCUUCAACCCAAGUAAAGGGUUGCAAGGCUUUACAUCGAAGAACUCUGGUCCACUAUAAUCCAAAUUUUGGAAUGGACGAGGAGGAAACCCUUAUCAAGCCCCCUCAACCCCAAUGAAGCUUCUUUCUUGGAAUUUUCGUGGGCUUUCCAGGGCCCCAGCAACCCAAGCACUCCGAGCUUGGGUAGGAAUAUACAAGCCUAAUUGCAUGUUCUUAAUGGAAACCGAAGUGGGGGGAGAGUUUAUGCCUAAGGUAUGUAGAAAUUUAGAUUAUGAUUUUGGUGAUAUAUACCAUCUAAUGGUACGGCGGAUGGAUUCUUCUUGAUGUGGAAAAAUGAAACAUGGCUAAUGAUUUCAAAGAUCACGGAGUCAUCAUUUGAAGGAACGAUUUGGGUACCUACUACUGACUCUUUUUGGGAAUUUAUUGAUGUUUAUGGGACCCCUUAUGAUGAAAAGAAGAAAUAAUUCUAGAAUAGUAUGAGGCAUCGGGUCAACAAUAUCUCCAAUUUGUGGUUGAUCAUUGGAGAUUUAAAUGUCCUUCUUCGAGACUGUGAGAAAAUUGGUGGUAGGAAGUUGACUCAGAGUGAUACUCGCAUCCUAUCUGACUUCCUCAUUGAUGUUGGAGGGGUCGAAUUAGGAUAUUAUGGAAAUAGGUUUAUGUGGCAGAAUAACAGAUUCUCAAGUGAACUAAGCAAAGAAAUACUUGACUGAGUGCUUUAUUUCAGGGGACUAGCUAACCUAUUGCCCAAAAGCGGGGAUUCAAAAUCUCCCAAUUUCUGCAUCUGAUCAUGGGUCGAUCCUCCUUGACACCUUGAUUGACAAAAGAAGAGGAUACCGCCCAUUCCAAUUCUAUUAGGCUUGGUUUCGAGAAGAAUCUUGUGUAAGGGUAAUUGAAGAGGCGUUGAACAGGACUAGUGGCCAGUGGUGAAUUAGAAGAUGUCCAAAAGAAUGGCAAAUACAAGAAAGACUCUCCAAGUAUAGAACAGAGGUUUUUGGCAACUAUGACACUAGAUUAAAGGAACUUGAAAGCAGGCUACAGAUAUUGCAGAAUUAGGUUUCUAGUGAUUCCUCUAUGUUGGAGGGAGAGAAAAUUCAUACUGAAAUGACUGAGUUGUGGAAUAGGAAAGCAAGUAUGUGGAGACUAAAAUCAAGAGAGUCUUGGUUAGCUAAUGGUGAUCGCAAUUCAAAGUUUUUCCAUGCUUCCAGUUUGAUUAGAAGGAGGCGAAACCAUAUAUGGGCUCUAAAAGAGUCAAACGGGGACUUGAGGGAAAAACACAGAGAUAUGGGCAAUAUCCUCAAUUCUUAUUUCAAGGGUGUUUUCUCAUCGGAUUGACCAAUAAUUCCUGAUGAUUUGGAGAUAUUAAUUCAUCCAAGUGUAACGCUGGAGGAAAAUCAAUGUAUAUGAGUCAUCCAUCCAAGGAGGAGAUUGAGCGUCACGUCUUUGAGAUGCAGCCACUCAAGGCCCCUGGCCUAGACGGCAUGCCGAGGUGUUUUUCUCAGAAGUGUUGGGAUUUUUUCGGUCUUGACGUGGUCAACACAGCUCUAGAUCUCUUUCGUUUGGGUGAUCUUGAGCUUUCCCUUAAUUACACUUAUAUGUAUCUUGUUCCAAAAGUUGAAGGCAUAGCCUCAGUUGACAAA